CGUACACUCCUACGGGAGGCAGCAGUGGGGAAUAUUGCACAAUGGGCGCAAGCCUGAUGCAGCCAUGCCGCGUGUAUGAAGAAGGCCUUCGGGUUGUAAAGUACUUUCAGCGGGGAGGAAGGCAAUACGGUUAAUAACCGUGUUGAUUGACGUUACCCGCAGAAGAAGCACCGGCUAACUCCGUGCCAGCAGCCGCGGUAAUACGGAGGGUGCAAGCGUUAAUCGGAAUUACUGGGCGUAAAGCGCACGCAGGCGGUCUGUCAAGUCGGAUGUGAAAUCCCCGGGCUCAACCUGGGAACUGCAUUCGAAACUGGCAGGCUUGAGUCUUGUAGAGGGGGGUAGAAUUCCAGGUGUAGCGGUGAAAUGCGUAGAGAUCUGGAGGAAUACCGGUGGCGAAGGCGGCCCCCUGGACAAAGACUGACGCUCAGGUGCGAAAGCGUGGGGAGCAAACAGGAUUAGAAACCCGUGUAGUCCCAUGA
rnacentral:rRNA from 1 species